rnacentral:rRNA from 1 species
GAUGAACGCUGGCGGCGUGCCUAAUACAUGCAAGUCGAGCGAACAGACGAGGAGCUUGCUCCUCUGACGUUAGCGGCGGACGGGUGAGUAACACGUGGAUAACCUACCUAUAAGACUGGGAUAACUUCGGGAAACCGGAGCUAAUACCGGAUAAUAUAUUGAACCGCAUGGUUCAAUAGUGAAAGACGGUUUUGCUGUCACUUAUAGAUGGAUCCGCGCCGCAUUAGCUAGUUGGUAAGGUAACGGCUUACCAAGGCAACGAUGCGUAGCCGACCUGAGAGGGUGAUCGGCCACACUGGAACUGAGGCACGGUCCAGACUCCUACAGGAGGCAGCAGUAGGGAAUCUUCCGCAAUGGGCGAAAGCCUGACGGAGCAACGCCGCGUGAGUGAUGAAGGUCUUCGGAUCGUAAAACUCUGUUAUUAGGGAAGAACAAAUGUGUAAGUAACUAUGCACGUCUUGACGGUACCUAAUCAGAAAGCCACGGCUAACUACGUG